ensembl:lncRNA
UGUGUGUGUGUGUGUGUGUGUGUGUGUGUGACGUGUGUAUGUGUGUGUGUGUGACGUGUGUAUGUGUGUGUGACAUGUGUGUGUGUGUGUGUGUGUAUGCUGCUUGUUGUUAGCAGAACAUCCAGGAACCUUCGUUCCCUGGAAAAAGAAGCAUAGGGGUGUAAACACACCUGUGUUGACUGUUGAAACAGACGGACGGUGUUGUGUUUGAGCUUCAGGAGUAUGGUGAUGGUGGUGGUGGUGGUAAUAUAAUCCAACCUAAUCAGGGUUCUACCAUCACAGCAGGACUGGGACAUAUGGCCUACAAAUCUGAUCUAGACCUUUUCAAACUUCUUGUCCUACAAAUCUGAUCUAGACCUUUUCAAACUUCUGGGCCUACAAAUCUGAUCUAGACCUUUUCAAACUUCUGGGCCUACAAAUCUGAUCUAGACCUUUUCAAACUUCUGGGCCUACAAAUCUGAUCUAGACCUUUUCAAACUUCUGGGCCUACAAAUCUGAUCUAGACCUUUUCAAACUUCUGGGCCUACAAAUCUGAUCUAGACCUUUUCAAACUUCUGGGCCUACAAAUCUGAUCUAGACCUUUUCAAACUUCUGGGCCAUUCACAGUAUGCAGUUUAUCUAGAUUUGUUUAAUGUUUUCUCUAAAUAAGCUUUGUGGUACAAUUAAAAGGUAGAAAAACCCACUGCAUUUCAAACAGUCAGCUACAGUGGGGAGAACAAGUAUUUGAUACACUGCCGAUUUUGCAGGUUCUCCUACUUACAAAGCAUGUAGAGGUCUGUCAUUUUUAUCACAGGGACACUUCAACUGUGAGAGACGGAAUCUAAAACAAAAAUCCAGAAAAUCACAUUGAAUGAUUUUUUAGUAAUUAAUUAGCAUUUUAUUGCAUGACAUAAGUAUUUGAUACAUCACAAAAAAGCAGAACUUAAUAUUUGGUACAGAAACCUUUGUUUGCAAUUACAGAGAUCAUACCCAUCAGGGUAUACUGUAGUAUCUAUAUCAGGGUAUACUGUAGUAUCUAUAUCAGGGUAUACUGUAGUAUCUAUAUCAGAGGGUAUACUGUAGUAUCUAUAUCAGGGGGUAUACUGUAGUAUCUAUAUCAGAGGGUAUACUGUAGUAUCUAUAUCAGGGUAUACUGUAGUAUCUAUAUCAGAGGGUAUACUGUAGUAUCUAUAUCAGAGGGUAUACUGUAGUAUCUAUAUCAGAG